rnacentral:rRNA from 1 species
GCCAGAGGCCCCAAGCGUUAGGCGGAAUCACUGGGCUUAAAGCGUGUGUAGGCGGACGCCUAAGUGUCUUGUGAAAUCCCACGGCUCACCCGUGGAACUGCUGGGCAUACUGGGCGUCUUGGGCCAACUAGGGGCAGCCGGAACAAGCGGUGGAGCGGUGAAAUGCGUAGAUAUCGCUUGGAACGCCGAAGGUGAAAACAGGCUGCUGGGGUUGUGCCGACGCUGAGACACGAAAGCCAGGGGAGCAAACGGG